UUGAACGCUGGCGGCAGGCCUAACACGUGCAAGUCGAGCGGAUGAAGGGAGCUUGCUCCUGGAUUCAGCGGCGGACGGGUGAGUAAUGCCUAGGAAUCUGCCUGGUAGUGGGGGAUAACGUCCGGAAACGGGCGCUAAUACCGCAUACGUCCUGAGGGAGAAAGUGGGGGAUCUUCGGACCUCACGCUAUCAGAUGAGCCUAGGUCGGAUUAGCUAGUUGGUGGGGUAAAGGCCUACCAAGGCGACGAUCCGUAACUGGUCUGAGAGGAUGAUCAGUCACACUGGAACUGAGACACGGUCCAGACUCCUACGGGAGGCAGCAGUGGGGAUUAUUGGACAAUGGGCGAAAGCCUGAUCCAGCCAUGCCGCGUGUGUGAAGAAGGUCUUCGGAUUGUAAAGCACUUUAAGUUGGGAGGAAGGGCAGUAAGUUAAUACCUUGCUGUUUUGACGUUACCAACAGAAUAAGCACCGGCUAACUUCGUG
rnacentral:rRNA from 1 species